rnacentral:rRNA from 1 species
UACGUAGGUGGCAAGCGUUGUCCGGAAUUAUUGGGCGUAAAGCGCGCGCAGGCGGCCUUUUAAGUCUGAUGUGAAAGCCCACGGCUCAACCGUGGAAGGUCAUUGGAAACUGAAAGGCUUGAGUACAGAAGAGGAAAGCGGAAUUCCACGUGUAGCGGUGAAAUGCGUAGAUAUUGGGAGGAACACCAGUGGCGAAGGCGGCUCACUGGACCGGAACUGACGCUGAGGCGCGAAAGCGUGGGGAGCGAACAGG